ACGAAACGCUGGCGGCGUGCUUAACACAUGCAAGUCGAACGGAAAGGCCUGCAGCUUGCUGCGGGUACUCGAGUGGCGAACGGGUGAGUAACACGUGGGUGAUCUGCCUUGCACUUCGGGAUAAGCUUGGGAAACUGGGUCUAAUACCGGAUAGGACAGCUGUUUAGUGUCAGUUGUGGAAAGUUUUUUCGGUGCAAGAUGAGCUCGCGGCCUAUCAGCUUGUUGGUGGGGUAAUGGCCUACCAAGGCGUCGACGGGUAGCCGGCCUGAGAGGGUGUACGGCCACAUUGGGACUGAGAUACGGCCCAGACUCCUACGGGAGGCAGCAGUGGGGAAUAUUGCACAAUGGGCGGAAGCCUGAUGCAGCGACGCCGCGUGGGGGAUGAAGGCCUUCGGGUUGUAAACUCCUUUCGACAGGGACGAAGCGUAAGUGACGGUACCUGUAUAAGAAGCACCGGCUAACUACGUGCCAGCAGCCGCGGUAAUACGUAGGGUGCGAGCGUUGUCCGGAAUUACUGGGCGUAAAGAGCUCGUAGGUGGUUUGUCGCGUCGUCUGUGAAAUUCCGGGGCUUAACUCCGGGCGUGCAGGCGAUACGGGCUGACUUGAGUGCUGUAGGGGAGACUGGAAUUCCUGGUGUAGCGGUGAAAUGCGCAGAUAUCAGGAGGAACACCGAUGGCGAAGGCAGGUCUCUGGGCAGUAACUGACGCUGAGGAGCGAAAGCAUGGGUAGCGAACAGGAUUAGAUACCCUGGUAGUCCAUGCCGUAAACGGUGGGCGCUAGGUGUAGGGGGCUUCCACGUCUUCUGUGCCGUAGCUAACGCAUUAAGCGCCCCGCCUGGGGAGUACGGCCGCAAGGCUA
rnacentral:rRNA from 1 species